rnacentral:rRNA from 1 species
UCGAAACCUGCAGAGCAGAACGACCUACGAACCCGUGAAACGACAACAGACGGGUGGCAGGGGAAGGGGCGAAAGCCUCGGAUCCCUUCCCCCGUGGGCGCGCCCUGCGCGUCGAACAACAAACCCGGCUUGAAGGAAAAAUCCGAGGAGAGCGUGCAUCCCCGCGUGAGCGGGACGGCGCUGUGACCCCGAAACCUAGAACGACUCUCGGCAAUGGAUAUCUCGGCUCUCGCAUCGAUGAAGAACGUAGCGAAAUGCGAUACUUGGUGUGAAUUCUAGAAUCCCGUGAGCCAUCGAGUCUUUGAACAUAAGUUGCGCCCAAGGCCGCUAGGUUGAGGGCACGUCUGCCUGGGCGUCACGCACAGCGUCGCCCCCCUCUGCGUCUCUGCGGUAGGGGGAGCAGAGAUUGGCCCCCCGUGCCUCACCCGGUGCGGUUGGCCUAAAUGCUGGCCCCGGGGACGGGCAUCACUAUCAUCGGUGGUUGAGAGACCCCCUCAUCGUAGACCGGCGUCGCGCGUGCCCCGUCACCCCGUCGUGCAGAUCGAACCCCCGUACGCCGCGCGAGCGGCGUUCACCCU